rnacentral:rRNA from 1 species
GACGGAGGGGGCUAGCGUUGUUCGGAAUUACUGGGCGUAAAGCGCGUGUAGGCGGACUCUUAAGUCGGUGGUGAAAUCCUGGAGCUCAACUCCAGAACUGCCUUCGAUACUGAGAGUCUCGAGUCCGGGAGAGGUGAGUGGAACUGCGAGUGUAGAGGUGAAAUUCGUAGAUAUUCGCAAGAACACCAGUGGCGAAGGCGGCUCACUGGCCCGGUACUGACGCUGAGGUGCGAAAGCGUGGGGAGCAAACAGG